AAUAUUGGACAAUGGGGGGAACCCUGCUCCAGCCAUGCCGCGUGUGUGAAGAAGGUCUUCGGAGUGUAAAGCACUGUAAGUUGGGAGGCACAGCUGUAGGCUAAUACCUUGCAAGUUUGACGUUACCAACAGCAUAAGCACCGGCUAACUUCGUGACAGCAGCCGCGGUAAUCCGAAGGGUGCAAGCGUUAAUCGGAAUUACUGGGCGUAAAGCGCGCGUAAGUGGUUCGUUAAGUUGGAAGUGAAAGCCCCGGGCUUAACCUGGGAAUUGCUUUCAAAACUGCCGAGCUAGAAUACGGUAGAGGGUAGUGGAAUUUCCUGUGUAGCGGUGAAAUGCGUAGAUAUAGGAAGGAACAUCAGUGGCGAAGGCGACUACCUGGACUGAUACUGACACUGAGGUGCGAAAGCGUGGGGAGCAAACAGG
rnacentral:rRNA from 1 species